GUUCUACUACUUUCGCUAUUUUCUUCUUUUCUGUGACUAGAUGUUCUAAUUUAUCCCACAAUUUUAUUAUUUUAGUUGUUUGCUGUGAAAUAUUGUAUUCAAUAUCUUCAUACCUCUGUUCUCCACAGUGGUGUUAUUAAUUUGUUUUGUAUUAUAUUUUCUUACAUUCUUUCUUGCCUCUCGUUAUUUUCCUCGUUAGAAACUUAGAAAGAAAAAAAGAGGGGCUCUAGUUUGACUUUUAGCGUUUUCUGAAUUUGUUGUUGAUUAAUUUCAAGAAUAUCUAGUCAGAAUCUUGUUUUUAUUGUUGAUCUCCGGCAAGAUGCCGAAUAUCGACUAUGCAUACCGACGUAACAGACUCUCUCGUUUCUGUGACGUAAUCUACAGUUUCCAAUGUUUGAUGGAUCCCCUUUUCUGUUGUGGGUAUGAUGUGUAUUUCAAAUUUAUUUUUCAUUUCUAAAAUUAUGUACAUAACUCGGUUGGGAAUUGAGCUCAUUUUUGUUACUUCAUGUUUUAACUUUUUGUUUUUUAGGAUAGCGGUUCCUCCCAGAGUGGUCUCUGUGUUGUUUUGAUAUAGUAGGUAAGAGGCCAGAUUUAAGGAUGGUGGCUUUGUUCUUUCAUUAUUGUUUUGAAGAGUCCCUGGAUUUCCCAUUUGAUGUUUUCUAGUUCCUGAUAUAAGUAGGUAUGUUCUGUGUGGUUCAUCAUUCAUUGUUUUUAUGUUACAAGUUGCCACUAUCAACUGUUGAAUUGCGCUAGGUUUUAAUUUGAUAUUUUGUUUUUCAACUAAUGGUAGUAUUACAUCGAGAAAUAUACCCUAUACAUAUUUCAUUUAUCUGUUGACCAGCUUUCAUAUCUAAUCACUCUAAUCGAUAAAAUAAAUAUCUUCCACCUGUACUAAUACGAAUAAAGAUAAAAUUAGAAGUAAUGUUUUCUAUAAUACCGGGUGGGCACAAUCUGUUUGGGUGUACAGAACAAGCUCGAAAUAAUCUAUAAUUAUAAUAUGAACAAAACUGCUGAUACAUUGAUUGAUUGCGUUGAUUAGCUAUUUGGUAAGCAACUGGCUUGGGCAUAAGUUUUCAGUUUUGAAUUUGUUUAUAACUGGCGCAGUCGGUAGGAUUGUACAGAAGUCCUGAUUCGGUCGUGUCUCUUUCGAAAAGCCGUGAAUCGAUUUGAUGAUUUGAUUGAAAACAUUUGAUUUUCUACUCUUCAGUGCAAUCCAGAACAAUCCUCCGAGCAUCCGACCACAAUACUGGCAGAAUCAGUAAGGAAGCAAGACAUUGCAGAAAACGCACUAAGUGCCAUUUCGUUCGUCCCUUUAUUUCCUCUGUUUAAGGCAUUAAUACGGAUAAUUUAAUU